rnacentral:rRNA from 4 species
AGAGUUUGAUCCUGGCUCAGAGUGAACGCUGGCGGCGUGCCUAAUACAUGCAAGUCGAACGAUGAAAUUUCUAGCUUGCUAGAAAUGGAUUAGUGGCGCACGGGUGAGUAACGCAUAGGUUAUGUGCCUCUUAGUUUGGGAUAGCCAUUGGAAACGAUGAUUAAUACCAGAUACUCCCUACGGGGGAAAGAUUUAUCGCUAAGAGAUCAGCCUAUGUCCUAUCAGCUUGUUGGUAAGGUAAUGGCUUACCAAGGCUAUGACGGGUAUCCGGCCUGAGAGGGUGAACGGACACACUGGAACUGAGACACGGUCCAGACUCCUACGGGAGGCAGCAGUAGGGAAUAUUGCUCAAUGGGGGAAACCCUGAAGCAGCAACGCCGCGUGGAGGAUGAAGGUUUUAGGAUUGUAAACUCCUUUUGUUAGAGAAGAUAAUGACGGUAUCUAACGAAUAAGCACCGGCUAACUCCGUGCCAGCAGCCGCGGUAAUACGGAGGGUGCAAGCGUUACUCGGAAUCACUGGGCGUAAAGAGCGCGUAGGCGGGAUAGUCAGUCAGGUGUGAAAUCCUAUGGCUUAACCAUAGAACUGCAUUUGAAACUACUAUUCUAGAGUGUGGGAGAGGUAGGUGGAAUUCUUGGUGUAGGGGUAAAAUCCGUAGAGAUCAAGAGGAAUACUCAUUGCGAAGGCGACCUGCUGGAACAUUACUGACGCUGAUUGCGCGAAAGCGUGGGGAGCAAACAGGAUUAGAUACCCUGGUAGUCCACGCCCUAAACGAUGGAUGCUAGUUGUUGGAGGGCUUAGUCUCUCCAGUAAUGCAGCUAACGCAUUAAGCAUCCCGCCUGGGGAGUACGGUCGCAAGAUUAAAACUCAAAGGAAUAGACGGGGACCCGCACAAGCGGUGGAGCAUGUGGUUUAAUUCGAAGAUACACGAAGAACCUUACCUAGGCUUGACAUUGAGAGAAUCCGCUAGAAAUAGUGGAGUGUCUAGCUUGCUAGACCUUGAAAACAGGUGCUGCACGGCUGUCGUCAGCUCGUGUCGUGAGAUGUUGGGUUAAGUCCCGCAACGAGCGCAACCCCCUUUCUUAGUUGCUAACAGGUCAUGCUGAGAACUCUAAGGAUACUGCCUCCGUAAGGAGGAGGAAGGUGGGGACGACGUCAAGUCAUCAUGGCCCUUACGCCUAGGGCUACACACGUGCUACAAUGGGGUGCACAAAGAGAAGCAAUACUGCGAAGUGGAGCCAAUCUUCAAAACACCUCUCAGUUCGGAUUGUAGGCUGCAACUCGCCUGCAUGAAGCUGGAAUCGCUAGUAAUCGCAAAUCAGCCAUGUUGCGGUGAAUACGUUCCCGGGUCUUGUACUCACCGCCCGUCACACCAUGGGAGUUGUGUUUGCCUUAAGUCAGGAUGCUAAACUAGCUACUGCCCACGGCACACACAGCGACUGGGGUGAAGUCGUAACAAGGUAACCGUAGGUGAACCUGCGGUUG